rnacentral:rRNA from 1 species
GAUGAACGCUGGCGGCGUGCCUAAUACAUGCAAGUCGAGCGAACAGAUAAGGAGCUUGCUCCUUUGACGUUAGCGGCGGACGGGUGAGUAACACGUGGAUAACCUACCUAUAAGACUGGGAUAACUUCGGGAAACCGGAGCUAAUACCGGAUAACAUAUUGAACCGCAUGGUUCAAUAGUGAAAGGCGGCUUUGCUGUCACUUAUAGAUGGAUCCGCGCCGUAUUAGCUAGUUGGUAAGGUAACGGCUUACCAAGGCAACGAUACGUAGCCGACCUGAGAGGGUGAUCGGCCACACUGGAACUGAGACACGGUCCAGACUCCUACGGGAGGCAGCAGUAGGGAAUCUUCCGCAAUGGGCGAAAGCCUGACGGAGCAACGCCGCGUGAGUGAUGAAGGUCUUCGGAUCGUAAAACUCUGUUAUCCGGGAAGAACAAAUGUGUAAGUAACUGUGCACAUCUUGACGGUACCUGAUCAGAAAGCCACGGCUAACUACGUG